rnacentral:rRNA from 1 species
AUACGAAGGGGGCUAGCGUUGUUCGGAAUCACUGGGCGUAAAGCGCGCGUAGGUGGAUCAAUUAGUUGAGGGUGAAAUCCCGGGGCUCAACCUCGGAACUGCCUUCAAUACUGUUGAUCUUGAGACCGAGAGAGGUGAGCGGAAUUCCUAGUGUAGAGGUGAAAUUCGUAGAUAUUAGGAAGAACACCAGUGGCGAAGGCGGCUCACUGGCUCGGUACUGACGCUGAGGUGCGAAAGCGUGGGGAGCAAACAGGAUUAGAAACCCGAGUAGUCC